rnacentral:rRNA from 1 species
GGCUCAGAUUGAACGCUGGCGGCAGGCCUAGCACAUGCAAGUCGAACGGUAACAGGAAACAGCUUGCUGUUUCGCUGACGAGUGGCGGACGGGUGAGUAAUGUCUGGGAAACUGCCUGAUGGAGGGGGAUAACUACUGGAAACGGUAGCUAAUACCGCAUAACGUCGCAAGACCAAAGAGGGGGACCCUCGGGCCUCUUGCCAUCGGAUGUGCCCAGAUGGGAUUAGCUUGUUGGUGGGGUAACGGCUCACCAAGGCGACGAUCCCUAGCUGGUCUGAGAGGAUGACCAGCCACACUGGAACUGAGACACGGUCCAGACUCCUACGGGAGGCAGCAGUGGGGAAUAUUGCACAAUGGGCGCAAGCCUGAUGCAGCCAUGCCGCGUGUAUGAAGAAGGCCUUCGGGUCGUAAAGUACUUUCAGCGGGGAGGAAGGGAGUAAAGUUAAUACCUUUGCUCAUUGACGUUACCCGCAGAAGAAGCACCGGCUAACUCCGUG